CCUACGCACUCCUACGGGAGGCAGCAGUGGGGAAUAUUGCACAAUGGGCGCAAGCCUGAUGCAGCCAUGCCGCGUGUAUGAAGAAGGCCUUCGGGUUGUAAAGUACUUUCAGCAGUGAGGAAGGUGGGUAUGUUAAUAGCAUACUCAUUUGACGUUAGCUGCAGAAGAAGCACCGGCUAACUCCGUGCCAGCAGCCGCGGUAAUACGGAGGGUGCGAGCGUUAAUCGGAAUUACUGGGCGUAAAGCGCAUGCAGGUGGUUUGUUAAGUCAGAUGUGAAAGCCCGGGGCUCAACCUCGGAAUUGCAUUUGAAACUGGCAAACUAGAGUACUGUAGAGGGGGUAGAAUUUCAGGUGUAGCGGUGAAAUGCGUAGAGAUCUGAAGGAAUACCGGUGUCGAAGGCGGCCCCCUGGACAGAUACUGACACUCAGAUGCGAAAGCGUGGGGAGCAAACAGGAUUAGAUACCCUGGUAG
rnacentral:rRNA from 1 species